rnacentral:rRNA from 1 species
AUCGUCCCGAACGCGACCUCAGGUCAGGCGGGGCUACCCGCUGAGUUUAAGCAUAUCAAUAAGCCGGGAGGAAAG